CUGCACAGUCAACUCUUAGGUUUCCUUGGAAAUUUUUCAACAAAUCAAAAUUUUGUUGGAAACAUCUACACAGCUUUCAUAAUUCAAGUUACUUGGGCUUUUGAAAUGCCUUGGAUUUGACAGACUUCUGCGAGCUCAGAGUUACUGAUUAGAAUCAUCAAACUAUAGAUUGGAAAGGAUGCUUGGAGGUCAUCUGGUCCAACCUCAUGCUGAAAGCAGACCUGACUUCCCAAUUAGAUGAUGUUGUCCACGGCCUUGUUUGGUGAGCUGUGUCUCUCUCUGGGAGCAGUGAUGCUGCAGUCUCCUUCUGCUUUCCUGUGCUCAACUGCACCCCAUGAGAAGAAUUGUCUUCCUUCUUUCAAAAGACAGUGACUGGCUUUGCAGGUACAAUAUCCCUCAGCAUCGCACAGAGAGGCAUUGCUGGGAGAAGCCCUGUGCAGAUGGAGGUUCUCUCCAAGAGGUGGUGCUAACAAUUGCCACAGUCGGAAUAACAUAUUUGUCAAAUCUCUGUAAUCUGUUAGCAGCUGUAAUUAAAGGUUUU
rnacentral:lncRNA from 1 species